UGGGGAAUAUUGCACAAUGGGCGAAAGCCUGAUGCAGCAACGCCGCGUGAGUGAUGAAGGCCUUCGGGUUGUAAAGCUCUGUCUUUUGGGACGAUAAUGACGGUACCAAAGGAGGAAGCCACGGCUAACUACGUGCCAGCAGCCGCGGUAAUACGUAGGUGGCAAGCGUUGUCCGGAUUUACUGGGCGUAAAAGGAUGCGUAGGCGGAUUUUUAAGUGAGAUGUGAAAAACCCUAAGCUUAACUUGGGGACUGCAUUUCAUACUGGAAAAUCUAGAGUGCGGGAGAGGAGAAUGGAAUUCCUAGUGUAGCGGUGAAAAUGCAUAGAGAUUAGGAAGAAACACCAGUGGCGAAGGCGAUUCUCUGGACCGUAAACUGACGCUGAGGCAUGAAAAGCGUGGGUAGCAAAACAGGAUUAGAUACCCUGGUAGUCCACGCCGUAAAACG
rnacentral:rRNA from 1 species